UCUACGGGAGGCAGCAGUGGGGAAUAUUGGACAAUGGGCGCAAGCCUGAUCCAGCCAUGCCGCGUGAGUGAUGAAGGCCUUAGGGUUGUAAAGCUCUUUCACCGGUGAAGAUAAUGACGGUAACCGGAGAAGAAGCCCCGGCUAACUUCGUGCCAGCAGCCGCGGUAAUA
rnacentral:rRNA from 1 species